AAGUUUAUUCUGUGACCGAAUACCAGUUUUGGAUUACCCACUCCCUGAGUGUAAGCUAGCCUUAGUAACUAGGUUCCAGGAGGCCGAGUGAACUCAACACCAAUAAACUCUCCUGGUGGCGUCCAGAAAAUCUCUGGCGUCGAACAUAA